CCAAUCAACCUUGGGGUCGACUCAAUCCACACUUUGCUGCAACUCAAGGUUAGACUCAUCCAAAUAAACAAUGAAAUGCAUUUAUACAAAUAUACUGAGAAUAACAGAAUUAUAAAUGAAGUAUCGAAUUAACUUAUAACAUACUCUUGAUAAUUGCUUGUUAAUCAUCAAAAUAACACUAUCAUCCUCAAUCUCCCCCUUUUUGAUGAUUACAAAAUAAAGAGUAUGAGCCUAUUGAUACUUAUCUUAAAAUUAGUUUUAAAAGGGCUUAACUUGCUGAAAUUCAGCUUUUCAAAAUAUAAGAGUGAAGUCUCCCCCUAUAUCAUUCAAAUGUUGCCAAUUUGACUUUUUGAAUUGCUCCCCCUUUCAUUUAUAAUUCAUUAAAGAUAAAACUCCAAAAAUUUGAGAUAAAACAUGAGUUUCAGGUUAUGUAUCGAGAUGUGAAAGGUGCGUGCCAAAUUCUGAAAUUUGAUAGAAAUUUUUGAUUUGAUCAUUUUCAUUGUUACAAAUUGCUCCCCCUUAAAUGUAUAUGCUUUCCUAUAUAAUUUUCAAUUUGUUUUACAAGUAAUUUCUCUUUUCUUACACAAUUUCUUAUUUCUCCUUGUUAUUUCUCUUUCUUUACUUCAACUUCUUAUUACUCUUUCUUUACUUCUCCCCCUUUUUGUUAUCAUCAAAUAGGUGCAUGGGAAAAGACACAAUAAAUAACAAACAUUCAAACUUCAUUGAUCAAAAUAGGAACAUUUUAGUACAUUCAUG
rnacentral:lncRNA from 1 species